UACGUAGGGCGCAAGCGUUGUCCGGAAUUAUUGGGCGUAAAGAGCUCGUAGGCGGUUUGUCGCGUCUGCCGUGAAAGUCCGGGGCUCAACUCCGGAUCUGCGGUGGGUACGGGCAGACUAGAGUGAUGUAGGGGAGACUGGAAUUCCUGGUGUAGCGGUGAAAUGCGCAGAUAUCAGGAGGAACACCGAUGGCGAAGGCAGGUCUCUGGGCAUUAACUGACGCUGAGGAGCGAAAGCGUGGGUAGCAAACAGG
rnacentral:rRNA from 1 species